rnacentral:misc_RNA from 1 species
AACGCACCUUGCGCCCUUUGGUAUUCCGAAGGGCAUGCCUGUUUGAGUGUCAUUAAAUUAUCAACCUUGCUUGCUUUUACUAGCUUGAGUGAGGCUUGGAUGUGAGGGCUUGCUGGCUUCCUUCAGUGGAUGGUCUGCUCCCUUUAAAUGCAUUAGUGGGAUCUCUUGUGGACCGUCACUUGGUGUGAUAAUUAUCUAUGCCAUUUGACUUUGAAGCAAACUUAUGGGAACCUGCUUACAACCGUCUUCGGACAACUUUUGACAUUUUGACCUCAAAUCAGGUAGGACUACCCGCUGAACUUAA